rnacentral:rRNA from 1 species
GAUGAACGCUGGCGGCGUGCCUAACACAUGCAAGUCGAGCGUGAUUUAUGAGGACGUAACUUCGGCCUAGGAAUCAUAAUGAAAGCGGCGGACGGGUGAGUAACGCGUAGGCAACCUGCCCUUGACACAGGGAUAGCCUCGGGAAACCGGGAUUAAAACCUGAUGACGCCAAACGGUCACAUGGCUGUUUGGCCAAAGAUUUAUCGGUCAAGGAUGGGCCCGCGUCUGAUUAGUUAGUUGGUGGGGUAACGGCCUACCAAGACGACGAGCAGUAGCCGACCUGAGAGGGGGAUCGGCAACAUUGGAACUGAGACUCGGUCCAAACUCCUACGGGAGGCAGCAGUGGGGAAUAUUGCACAAUGGGCGAAAGCCUGAUGCAGCAACGCCGCGUGAGCGAUGAAGGCCUUUGGGUCGUAAAGCUCUGUCCUUGGGGAAGAAACAAAUGACGGUACCCAAGGAGGAAGCCCCGGCUAACUACGUGCCAGCCGCCGCCGUAA